rnacentral:tRNA from 1 species
GGAGAGAUGGCCGAGCGGUUGAUCGCCCCGGUCUUGAAAACCGGUAUAGUUAGAAACAAAGAACUAUCGAGGGUUCGAAUCCCUCUCUCUCCU